UAAUAAAUCUCAUCGACUGAUCCGGUAUAAAAACGCAUUAAAGUGUUUCAGAGUAAAUUUUUUUCCGAAAGGUCACCACAUUGUCUAUUUCGAGUUUGAAAUGUUUUCUGACUAGUAUCAGGGGUAGCCAGAUUAGAUAUUACCUACUACAAUGUAAACUUUUUGGCCCAAAUCCAGAUUUCUCACAUAUAUAUAAC
rnacentral:sRNA from 1 species